UUCCCCAUUUCUUGGCCCAAGGGCAGCAGCCACCACCUGCCCAAUCCUCGGCCACCACCCUCCCGACCCUCGGCCACCACUGGCCGAACCAUCGCCGGCCACCUCUGCUGCAGUCGCCGGCGAUGGUAGUCGGCCAAAAGAAAGAGAGAAGAGGAGGUCCCUCUUCUUCAUUUUUUUUCCUUCCCAACACCCGAAAGAGCCCCCCUCUUCUUCUUCUUUCCAACCGAAGAUCCACCCUUUUUUUCUCCCAUCAUCAGCCGAAGGCCUUCCUCAUGGUGGCUCGGCCUCCCCCCCC
rnacentral:lncRNA from 1 species